rnacentral:rRNA from 1 species
CCUGGCCUUGACAUACUAAGAACUUUCCAGAGAUGGAUUGGUGCCUUCGGGAACUUAGAUACAGGUGCUGCAUGGCUGUCGUCAGCUCGUGUCGUGAGAUGUUGGGUUAAGUCCCGCAACGAGCGCAACCCUUUUCCUUAUUUGCCAGCGGGUAAUGCCGGGAACUUUAAGGAUACUGCCAGUGACAAACUGGAGGAAGGCGGGGACGACGUCAAGUCAUCAUGGCCCUUACGGCCAGGGCUACACACGUGCUACAAUGGUCGGUACAAAGGGUUGCUACCUCGCGAGAGGAUGCUAAUCUCAAAAAGCCGAUCGUAGUCCGGAUCGCAGUCUGCAACCCGACUGCGUGAAGUCGGAAUCGCUAGUAAUCGCGGAUCAGAAUGCCGCGGUGAAUACGUUCCCGGGCCUUGUACACACCGCCCGUCACACCAUGGGAGUUUGUUGCACCAGAAGUAGGUAGUCUAACCGCAAGGAGGACGCUUACCACGGUGUGGCCGAUGACUGGGGUGAAGUCGUAACAAGGUAGGCGUAGAUGA